rnacentral:rRNA from 1 species
GACGAACGCUGGCGGCGUGCUUAACACAUGCAAGUCGAACGGAAAGGCCCUGCUUUUGUGGGGUGCUCGAGUGGCGAACGGGUGAGUAACACGUGAGUAACCUGCCCUUGACUUUGGGAUAACUUCAGGAAACUGGGGCUAAUACCGGAUAGGAGCUCCUGCUGCAUGGUGGGGGUUGGAAAGUUUCGGCGGUUGGGGAUGGACUCGCGGCUUAUCAGCUUGUUGGUGGGGUAGUGGCUUACCAAGGCUUUGACGGGUAGCCGGCCUGAGAGGGUGACCGGCCACAUUGGGACUGAGAUACGGCCCAGACUCCUACGGGAGGCAGCAGUGGGGAAUAUUGCACAAUGGGCGGAAGCCUGAUGCAGCAACGCCGCGUGCGGGAUGACGGCCUUCGGGUUGUAAACCGCUUCCGCCUGUGACGAAGCGUGAGUGACGGUAAUGGGUAAAGAAGCACCGGCUAACUACGUGCCAGCAGCCGCGGUGAUACGUAGGGUGCGAGCGUUGUCCGGAUUUAUUGGGCGUAAAGGGCUCGUAGGUGGUUGAUCGCGUCGGAAGUGUAAUCUUGGGGCUUAACCCUGAGCGUGCUUUCGAUACGGGUUGACUUGAGGAAGGUAGGGGAGAAUGGAAUUCCUGGUGGAGCGGUGGAAUGCGCAGAUAUCAGGAGGAACACCAGUGGCGAAGGCGGUUCUCUGGGCCUUUCCUGACGCUGAGGAGCGAAAGCGUGGGGAGCGAACAGGCUUAGAUACCCUGGUAGUCCACGCUGUAAACGGUGGGUACUAGGUGUGGGGUCCAUUCCACGGGUUCCGUGCCGUAGCUAACGCUUUAAGUACCCCGCCUGGGGAGUACGGCCGCAAGGCUAAAACUCAAAGGAAUUGACGGGGCCCCGCACAAGCGGCGGAGCAUGCGGAUUAAUUCGAUGCAACGCGUAGAACCUUACCUGGGUUUGACAUGGAUCGGGAGUGCUCAGAGAUGGGUGUGCCUCUUUUGGGGUCGGUUCACAGGUGGUGCAUGGCUGUCGUCAGCUCGUGUCGUGAGAUGUUGGGUUAAGUCCCGCAACGAGCGCAACCCUUGUUCACUGUUGCCAGCACGUUAUGGUGGGGACUCAGUGGAGACCGCCGGGGUCAACUCGGAGGAAGGUGGGGAUGACGUCAAGUCAUCAUGCCCCUUAUGUCCAGGGCUUCACGCAUGCUACAAUGGCUGGUACAGAGAGUGGCGAGCCUGUGAGGGUGAGCGAAUCUCGGAAAGCCGGUCUCAGUUCGGAUUGGGGUCUGCAACUCGACCUCAUGAAGUCGGAGUCGCUAGUAAUCGCAGAUCAGCAACGCUGCGGUGAAUACGUUCCCGGG